AGCCAGAGGUCCGGGCUGAGGUCCCUGUGCCACAGGUUCUCAGCACGAUGCCUUACUGCGCGAGCCCAAACUUGUGUGCCUCAGCUUCCUUGUCGGCUUCGAGGGGAUAAAGAUGCCUGUCCUGGGCUGGCCUGGGGUUGGGUGGUGCCCCUGCAUCCCCAAGUGGAUGGUGAGCCAGAGGGCAGGAGCCACAGCUUCCUCGGUGCUGCGUGCAGAAGGGGAAGAAGGGCAGCCGGUGGGAACCGGGACCCAGGCGGAGAGGAAGGCCAGGUGUCUCCACUUAUCAUAAGAGUCUCCAGCGUACAGUUCUCGGUACAGUUCUCCAGAGUGGCUGCUCAGCUGACCCUGGCCCUCUGUGAAGACCUGCUACUGUCCACCUCUCUCUCCACAUCCUUCCCACCCAUCACUCGGCACCAGUCCCUAAAGGAUUUCUCAUAAGGGUUUCAAAAAGCUUGAAGUGAGCUUGGUUCUGAAGCUGCUGAAUCUAGAGAGUCACUGAAAAUGAAUCAAAAGUCACUACACAAAAACCAACAUCAGGACUUUCCUGGUGGCUCAGUGGAUAAGAAUCCCCAUGCCAAAGCAGGGGACAUGGGUUCCAUCCCUGGUCGGGGAAGAUUGCACAUGCCGCAGAGCAACUGAGCCCAUGCACCAUGACCACUGAGCCUGAGCUCUAGAGCCCUCGAGCCGCGAUUACUGAAUCCACGUGCCCCAGGGCCAGCAGCUCUCAACUCCUGAGCUUGCAUGCUCCUGAGCCCGUGAGCCUAGAGCCUGUGCUCUGCGACAAGAGAAGCCGCCACAGUAAGAAGCCUGUUCACUGCAACUUGAGAGAAGGCCCCGCUCUCCGCAGCCUGGUUGCAGCAACGAAGACCCAGCGCAAACAAAAAUUGUUGUUCAGUCGCUCAGUUGUGUCCAACUGUUUGCGACCCCAUGGACUGCAGCACGUCAGGCUUCCCAGUCCUUCACUAUCUCCUGGAGUUUGCUCAAGCUCACGUCCAUUGAGUCAGUGAUGCCAUCCAACCAUCUCAUCGUCUGUCACACCCCUUCUCCUCCUGCCCUCAACCUUUCCC
ensembl:lncRNA